UCCUCAUAUAGUACGGACAUUUUCUUUCAUAUGCUGAGGCACAUCUACUCUGCCAUUUUGAAAGGAGCCUGACCUCCCGGAAACAUUUCACAGCUCGCAGUAUUGAACGCUACUCCGCCUCCAAACCUAUGCGAUCCCCAGCCAGUAGUGUUUCAGUGACUGCGUUCCCAGAUGUGCGCUGAAGUAACGACGCAUUCGAAAUUCCAUUUAUGUGCAAUGGCGCCUGUAAUCUUCAAGAAAUCUGGAAUUUGGGGAUAUGGACUACACUCUGUAAGGUUCUCGCCGUCCUUUGCUUUGGAGGAGCCCAUAAAGUCUGUCUCUCACAAUAG